rfam:Burkholderia humi Vandamme et al. 2013 isolate LMG 22934 genome assembly, contig: contig000012
CUUCAUCGAUCUGUUGCGGGCUGAUGAAGUGGAUGUGCGAAUCGAUACCGCCCGCCGUCACGAUCAUGCCUUCGCCCGCGAUCACUUCCGUGGCUGCGCCGAUCGCGAUCGUCACGCCGGGCUGGAUGUCGGGAUUACCCGCCUUGCCGAUGGCGAAGAUGCGUCCGCCCUUGAUGCCGAUGUCGGCUUUCACGAUGCCCCAGUGAUCGAGGAUCAGCGCAUUGGUGACGACCGUAUCGACGACGUCGUCCGCGACGCGUUGCGACUGGCCCAUGCCGUCGCGGAU